UAUUAAAGCCAUUUUAAAAAUUAUAAAGUUUCGAGUUGAAAUGUUUGUCGAAAUCAUAAAAAUAAUUUCAAACAUGUGAAUAAAGAAGAUGAUCAAAUCAUGUGAAUUAGUCGCUUGUGUUUUGGCAGCUAUGGCCCUGUUACACCACGCUUUUGCAUUUCCAGAAUAAGCCUUACACUGGUGGAUCAUAACACAUUCUAUAAGAUACCUCCAAAUAUGCUAUAAAAUUUUCUCUCCCGUGUAUAGACUCUGGCUGUCUUUAUUAAUCUCCACCUGUACCCUUCAUCAGAAAAUUAUAACCAAUGCUAGAAUCCCAUUUGGUUCUUAUUUGUAUGUCCCAUAA
rnacentral:misc_RNA from 1 species